CCUACGGGGGGCAGCAGUGAGGAAUAUUGGUCAAUGGACGCAAGUCUGAACCAGCCAUGCCGCGUGCAGGAAGACGGCUCCAUGAGUUGUAAACUGCUUUUGUACGAGGGUAAACUCAGAUACGCGUACCUGUCUGAAAGUACCGUACGAAUAAGGAUCGGCUAACUCCGUGCCAGCAGCCGCGGUAAUACGGAGGAUUCAAGCGUUAUCCGGAUUUAUUGGGUUUAAAGGGUGCGUAGGCGGUCGGAUAAGUUAGAGGUGAAAUCCCGAGGCUCAACUUCGGAAUUGCCUCUGAUACUGUUAGGCUAGAGAGUAGUUGCGGUAGGCGGAAUGUAUGGUGUAGCGGUGAAAUGCUUAGAGAUCAUACAGAACACCGAUUGCGAAGGCAGCUUACCAAGCUACUUCUGACGUUGAGGCACGAAAGCGUGGGGAGCAAACAGGAUUAGAUACCCUGGUAGUC
rnacentral:rRNA from 1 species